rnacentral:rRNA from 1 species
AGAGUUUGAUCCUGGCUCAGGACGAACGCUGGCGGCGUGCCUAACACAUGCAAGUCGAACGAGAAUUGCUUACACCGAGUGCUUGCACUCACCGUAGGGAAUUCGAGUGGCGGACGGGUGAGUAACACGUGGGUAACCUGCCUAUCAGAGGGGGAUAACACUUGGAAACAGGUGCUAAUACCGCAUAAUAUUGAAAAGCGCAUGCUUUUCAAUUAAAAGGCGCUUCUGGUGUCACUGAUAGAUGGACCCGCGGCGUAUUAGCUAGUUGGUGAGGUAACGGCCUACCAAGGCAAUGAUACGUAGCCGAGUUGAGAGACUGAUCGGCCACAAUGGGACUGAGACACGGCCCAUACUCCUACGGGAGGCAGCAGUAGGGAAUCUUCCACAAUGGGCGCAAGCCUGAUGGAGCAACGCCGCGUGCGUGAAGAAGGUCUUCGGAUCGUAAAGCGCUGUUGUUAGAGAAGAACACGGAUAAGAGUAACUGUUUAUGCGUUGACGGUAUCUAACCAGAAAGUCACGGCUAACUACGUGCCAGCAGCCGCGGUAAUACGUAGGUGGCAAGCGUUGUCCGGAUUUAUUGGGCGUAAAGGGAACGCAGGCUGUUUUUUAAGUCCGAUGUGAAAGCCUUCGGCUUAACCGAAGAAGUGCAUUGGAAACUGGGAGACUUGAGUGCAGAAGAGGAGAGUGGAACUCCAUGUGUAGCGGUGAAAUGCGUAGAUAUAUGGAAGAACACCAGUGGCGAAAGCGGCUCUCUGGUCUGUAACUGACGCUGAGGUUCGAAAGCAUGGGUAGCGAACAGGAUUAGAUACCCUGGUAGUC